GCAGCUGUGGCUACUGAUGUGUGAAUGAAUGUUGAGUCGUACUUCUCUGUGAGCGCUUUGAGUGUUUAGAAGAGCACGAUAUAAAUCGAAGGUAUUAUUAUCCAUCCAUCAGGGGGCGCUGCGCCUAUCUCAGCUACAAUCGGGCAGAGGGCGGUGUACACCCUGGACAAGUCGCCACCUCAUCGCAGGGCCAACACAGAUAGACAGACAACAUUCACCUAUCCCCAGCCCAGGACUUCAAGGACCUCAACGAAGAUAAGACGACAGCACGCAGAUGAAGAAGAGACAAGGCAAUCACAAGGCCCCAACACAUUCUGUCCCGUAUUGUGGGUACUGGAAGCUGCUUUGCAUGAAAUGUGUGGCCACUCCUUUUAGAGGCGGCCUCAGUGAUGUAACCAGGGACCUCCCAAAAAAUUAGAGGAGGACGUGGGCUGGACUUUAGAGCGUAGGUUGGUUCUGUAACUAGAGUACAGCCCAAAACGUCUCUCCUCAUUGAGCUAAAUUUAACUCUGUCUCUGCAUGAUUCCUUGUUUCUUUUCUGUUUAAUACUGUAGAUGUCAUUAAUGUUUGAACAUGACACGAUUCAUUCUUAAAUGUCAGUUUUAUGUGGUAAACAGUGAUAUGGUUGCAAGUAAUGUUGACUCCAAACUCCACAGAAUCCUGAGUCUAACCAUGCAGUUACACUUCCCCAUGAGAAGAUAAAUAAAGUCAAACUGUUACAGUGGUUAAUCUAUACACCCA